CCCUUAGUAACGGCGAGCGAAAAGGGAAGAGUCCAGCGCCAAGUCUUGACGCCAAAGCGUUCAAGAGAUGCGGCGUUAAUGUAUUAUCGCAUCGUACAUUGUUACCUGUUUCAAGUUCCCUUGACAGGGACAUCCAUAGCGGGUGCUAGGCCCAUAGAGGCAGGAAACCAGUGUGCGCAGAUAAUGCAUUCUAGAGUCAGGUUGCUUGAGAGUGCAGCUUAAAGUGGGUGGUAAACUCCAUCUAAGGCUAAAUAUGACAGCGAGACCGAUAGCAAACAAGUACCGUGAGGGAAAGUUGCAAAGCACUUUGAAGAGAGAGUUCAACAGUACGUGAAACCACUGGGAGGCAAACAGAUGGAACCACGAAGUUGCGCCUCGCUCGAUUCAAUCAUUGAUACUGGUUACCGGUUCUUGUGUGGAUCUUUUCGGAGAUUAGCAAGUGUCGUGGAACUGGUUUCAAUGGUGCAUUUCGUGUGAGGAUGCUAAGCCACGUUCGAUUAGAGUUGGGACGGCCGUAGGACAGAAUUCGAGGAAGGUGACCGGAAAGUGCUUGCAUUUUUCGGUGUUAUAGCCUUGAAUUGGUACCGUCGCCUAACAAACUGAUCGAUAGAAAUUCUCCUUAGGAGUUAAACUGUGUCUGCCUGURACCAUUAGUCAACAUUUCGAAGUGUUCUUUACGUAUCUUUGGUGCGGAAAGGCAUUUCAACAAUGUUGGUUAGUGGUUGUUUGCGUGACAUGGUGGAACUGUGGCGCGAGUAGGUCGGUUUCCCUCUGACCC
rnacentral:rRNA from 1 species